AUGGUUUCAGUACUGAUGUUAAUUGAGGCAAAUAUUGUUGAGCAACAAGAGAAAAUCAGGUGCAAGUAUUCCCUCGGAAUUGAUAGAGGAUUCCAGAAGCUCUUAGACAGAGUUGAAUAUAGCGAGAAGAGUAUUUUACGAUAUGAGCGUAUUUAUGGUCGAGGCUUUAUAAGCGCCAGAGGACUUGGUAUGCCUUUGUAUCUUCCCUUCUCUGCUUCAAAUUGA